AUAUUCAAAUUGCCAAACCAAUGGUGUCAUGGGAGACCACUAUAAAAUCCUCUCCUAGUUAAAUCCGCAUGCCUCAAAGAGCAAAAAAUUAAUAUACUGCCGUUACACAGUUGAGAGGGAAAAUUAAUUUACAGAGAAACCUUUUCUAAGACAUGUUCAGACUGCCUGGAUACUACUCUAAAUGGAAGCAUUAUCUGCCUUCCCAAAAUAAUACACCAUAUGCCCUAAUCUGGCAGACACAAAGAUAAUUACAUGACUCUGGCAGAGCCAAUAUGCUUGCUAAUAAAUGGAAAAA
rnacentral:lncRNA from 1 species